GCAACAACUCUAACCUAUUAUUAUAGAAAUUAGAUCUGGUUUGUUUUAAAUAAAUUAAAACUUAUAGAACUCUAUUGACAAUAUCUAAUUAUUUAUAAACUAUGCUGAUUGCGGCAACUAUCCAGGAAUAAUUGAUAAGUUUACAGUGAAGCAAAACUUUAUAUAAAAGUAUCCAAAAUGAAAAAAAUGUUGGACAGAUGUGAAACAU